rnacentral:rRNA from 1 species
AGUGAACGCUGGCGGUAGGCCUAACACAUGCAAGUCGAACGGCAGCACAGUAAGAGCUUGCUCUUACGGGUGGCGAGUGGCGGACGAGUGAGGAAUACAUCGGAAUCUACUUUUUCGUGGGGGGUAACGUAGGGAAACUUACGCUAAUUCCGCAUACGACCUACGGGUGAAAGCAGGGGAUCUUCGGACCUUGCGCGAUUGAAUGAGCCGAUGUCGGAUUAGCUAGUUGGCGGGGUAAAGGCCCACCAAGGCGACGAUCCGUAGCUGGUCUGAGAGGAUGAUCAGCCACACUGGAACUGAGACACGGUCCAGACUCCUACGGGAGGCCGCAGUGGGGAAUAUUGGACAAUGGGCGCAAGCCUGAUCCAGCCAUACCGCGUGGGUGAAGAAGGCCUUCGGGUUGUAAAGCCCUUUUGUUGGGAAAGAAAAGCAGCAGGUUAAUACCCCGCUGUUCUGACGGUACCCAAAGAAUAAGCACCGGCUAACUUCGUG